CCUGAUUCCAAAAUCUGUCUUUGGAAAAGAGAGAAAAUCUACAGAUAACAGCUUUCCCCUGGCUUUCUCACCUACCCACUGAUAAAAGCUUUUCCAUCUCUUACACAAGACAGAGGGAGAUCUCUGUGGUGAUCUAGAAUUACGAUUAAGCCCACAAAGGAACU